CCUACGGGAGGCUGCAGUGGGGAAUAUUGCACAAUGGGGGAAACCCUGAUGCAGCGACGCCGCGUGAGUGAAGAAGGAAUUCGGUAUGUAAAGCUCUAUCAGCAGGGAAGAAAAUGACGGUACCUGAGCAAGAAGCCCCGGCCAACUACGGGCCAGCAGCCGCGGUAAUACGUAGGGGGCAAGCGUUAUCCGGAUUUACUGGGUGUAAAGGGAGCGUAGACGGCAGUGCAAGUCUGGAGUGAAAGCCCCAGGCUCAACCAUGGGACUGCUUUUGAAACUGUCAAACUAGAGUACGGGAGAGGUAAGCGGAAUUCCUAGUGUAGCGGUGAAAUGCGUAGAUAUUAGGAGGAACACCAGUGGCGAAGGCGUCUUACUGGACCGAAACUGACGUUGAGGCUCGAAAGCGUGGGGAGCAAACAGGAUUAGAUACCCCUGUAGUC
rnacentral:rRNA from 1 species